UCAAUAAACAAAUACCUGCAGAUU
rnacentral:piRNA from 1 species